UAUGUGAUCGUCUCUCGCAUAUCAAUAAGCGGAGGAAAAGAAACUAACAAGGAUUCCCCUAGUAACGGCGAGUGAAGCGGGAAGAGCUCAAAUUUGAAAUCUUAAAGGGUUUCCCUUUACGAAUUGUAGUUUAAAGAAGUGUUUUCUGUUGAGGUUUUGGUAAAAGUUCUUUGGAAUAAGGACAUCAUAGAGGGUGAGAAUCCCGUAUUUGACCUUUACUUUCAACUUUGUGAUACACUUUCAAAGAGUCGGAUUGUUUGGGAAUGCAGUCCAAAAUGGGUGGUAAAUUUCAUCUAAAGCUAAAUAUUGGCGAGAGACCGAUAGCGAACAAGUACCGUGAGGGAAAGAUGAAAAGAACUUUGAAAAGAGAGUUAAACAGUACGUGAAAUUGUCAAAAGGGAAGCGUUUGACACCAGUGUUGUUUUUCUGAAAAUCAAUUAAAGAACUGUUUAUGCUAAGCUGUUUAGACUUUAUCAGCUAAUCUGUUUAGUUUUGAGCUUUUCUUUAAUGCACUUUUCAGUUAACAAGUCAACAUCAAUUUCUUUUGCUGUAAAAAAGCUUGAGGAAGGUGGCUUGAGAUUCGUCUUAAGUGUUUAUAGCCUCUUGCCUAUGCAGUCGGAGAGAUUGAGGUCUGCAGCGUAGAUCCUUCGGGGCUAAAUGCAUUUGUGCUAAGUUAUAACAUUUUAUAGACAACUUGUUGACUAUGAUUUGUCUUGUAGCUUACUCGCUUAUGUUAUUUUACCUACGCUUAGGAUGUUGAGUAGCGACAUACGCAC
rnacentral:rRNA from 1 species